UACGUAGGGUGCAAGCGUUAAUCGGAAUUACUGGGCGUAAAGCGUGCGCAGGCGGUUGUGCAAGACAGAUGUGAAAUCCCCGGGCUCAACCUGGGAAUUGCAUUUGUGACUGCACGGCUAGAGUGUGUCAGAGGGGGGUAGAAUUCCACGUGUAGCAGUGAAAUGCGUAGAGAUGUGGAGGAAUACCGAUGGCGAAGGCAGCCCCCUGGGUCAAGAUUGACGCUCAUGCACGAAAGCGUGGGGAGCAAACAGG
rnacentral:rRNA from 1 species